UUGUAGCGCGCAAGAGCAUCGGAGCUCUUUGUACUUUUUUUUAUUUCGCGUAGUGAAUCCUACUACUUUUUGUUUAUUUUGAGAAGUUCGGCUCCAAACUGUGGAAGGUCUUCAGCAACAUUCUCGUGGUAGCCUCGCUCGUGUCUUCCCGCAGCGGGCCUCAUUCUUUGCAUCGCACCGCUGAAUGUGGGCAACCAGAGUGAAAGGGAUGCAGAGAGGUGACUCAAGGGACAGGGUCCCUCAAGUGAUGGGAUGGCCAGUGUAAAAUACAACAGAAGCUUGAAAUCUUGGGCAGGGCUUCUCUAUAAGCGACCUGUUUUCACCUGUGAUCCUAUGCAUAUGUAGGAGUCAGCCCCAUUGAACGCAGGGGGA